rnacentral:rRNA from 1 species
GACGAACGCUGGCGGCGUGCUUAACACAUGCAAGUCGAACGGAACGGCCCUGCUUUUGUGGGGUGCUCGAGUGGCGAACGGGUGAGUAACACGUGAGUAACCUGCCCUUGACUUUGGGAUAACUUAAGACAACUGGGGCUAAUCCCGGAAAGGAGCUCCUGCUGCAUGGUGGGGGCUGGAAAGUUUCGGUGGUUGGGGUUGGACUCGCGGCGUAUCAGCUUGUUGGGUGGGUAGUGGCUUACCAAGGCUUGGACGGGUUGCCGGCCUGAGAGGGUGACCUGCCACAUUGGGACGGAGAUACGGCCCGGACUCCUACGGGAGGGAGCAGUGGGGAAUAUUGCACAAUGGGCGGAGGCCUGAUGUAGCAACGCCGCGUGCGGUAUGACGUCCUUCGGGUUGUAAACCGCUUUCGCCUGUGACGAAGCGUGAGUGACGGUAAUGGGUAAAGAAGCACCGGCUAACUACGUG